AAGCAUCAUCAUGACCCCAGGAGGAAGGUCCUGUGCGUGAGGAUAAGAAAGGAUGUUUGGAGGAGGCCAUGGGGAAGUAGCCCAGGAGUGUUGUGCUGUUCAUGCAGCAUGUU